rnacentral:rRNA from 1 species
UAUAGCGGCCAUAUCUUGUUUAAAGCACCGGUUCUCUUCUGAUCACAAAAGUUAAGCAACGUUGGGCUCGGUUAGUACUUGCAUAGUGUGCGUCGGUAGAU